rnacentral:rRNA from 1 species
UGGGGAAUUUUGGACAAUGGGGGCAACCCUGAUCCAGCAACGCCGCGUGAAGGAUGAAGGUCUUCGGAUCGUAAACUUCUUUUGUAGGGGACGAAUCCGCCCAUGAAUAAUGGGCAAUGACGGUACCCUGCGAAUAAGCCACGGCUAACUACGUGCCAGCAGCCGCGGUAAUACGUAGGUGGCAAGCGUUACUCGGAAUUACUAGGCGUAAAGCGCAGGUAGGUGGUGCGAUAAGUCCGUAAUGAAAUCUCCCGGCUUAACUGGGAGGGGUUUAGGGAUACUGUCGUGCUUGAGUGUGGGAGAGGUCACUGGAAUUCCUGGUGUAGCGGUGAAAUGCGUAGAGAUCAGGAGGAACACCUAUGGCGAAAGCAGGUGACUGGCCCAAUACUGACACUGAGCUGCGAAAGCUAGGGGAGCAAACAGG